rnacentral:rRNA from 1 species
ACGAACGCUGGCGGCAGGCCUAAAACAUGCAAGUCGAACGGAUAUAGCAAUAUAUUAGUGGCGCACGGGUGAGUAACGCGUGGGAACGUGCCCUUCACUGCGGGACAACGUCGGGAAACUGACGCUAAUACCGCAUAAUGUCUACGGACCAAAGAUUUAUCGGUGAAGGAUCGGCCCGCGUCUGAUUAGUUUGUUGGUGGGGUAAUGGCCUACCAAGACUACGAUCAGUAGCAGGUCUGAGAGGAUGAUCUGCCACACUGGGACUGAGACACGGCCCAGACUCCUACGGGAGGCAGCAGUUAGGAAUAUUGGACAAUGGGCGAAAGCCUGAUCCAGCCAUGCCGCGUGUGUGAUGAAGGCCUUAGGGUUGUAAAGCACUUUCGUUGGGGAUGAUAAUGACCGUACCCAAAGAAGAAGCACCGGCUAACUUCGU